GUAGGUGGCAAGCGUUGUCCGGAAUUAUUGGGCGUAAAGCGCGCGCAGGCGGUUCUUUAAGUCUGAUGUGGAAGCCCACGGCUCAACCGUGGAGGGUCAUUGGAAACUGGAGAACUUGAGUACAGAAGAGGAAAGCGGAAUUCCACGUGUAGCGGUGAAAUGCGUAGAGAUGUGGAGGAACAUCAGUGGCGAAGGCGGCUUUCUGGUCUGUAACUGACGCUGAGGCGCGAAAGCGUGGGGAGCAAACAGGAUUAGAUACCCUGGUAGUCCACGCCGUAAACGAUGAGUGCUAAGUGUUAGGGGGGUUUUCCGCCCCCCUUAGUGCUGCAGCUAACGCAUUAAGCACUCCGCCUGGGAGUACGGCCGCAAGGCUG
rnacentral:rRNA from 1 species